GCCAGGUGCAGUGACGCAUGCCUGUAAUCCCAGCUACUCCGGAGCCCAAGGUGGGAGGAUCGUUUGAGUCCAAGAGUUCUGGGCUGUAGUGUGUUACACCAAUUGGGUGUCCGCAUUAAGUUUGGCAUCAAUAUGGUGACCUCCUGGGAGUGGGGAACCGCCAGGUUGCCUAUGGAGAGGUGAACCAGCCCAGGUCAGAAAUGGAGCAGGUCAAAACUCCCGUGCUGAUCAGUAGUGGGAUCAAGUCUGUGAAUAGCCACUGCAUUCCAGCACUCUAAAAAACAAACAAACAACAUC
rnacentral:SRP_RNA from 1 species